rnacentral:rRNA from 1 species
GUUUGAUCAUGGCUCAGGACGAACGCUGGCGGCGUGCCUAACACAUGCAAGUCGAGCGGAGCAUCGCAUAUUCGUAUGAGGUGCUUAGCGGCGAACGGGUGAGUAACGCGUGGAUAACCUGCCCAUCAAGCCGGGAUAACAUGUUGAAAGAGAUGCUAAUACCGGAUGGGCCAUAUUGCCGCAUGGUGAUAUGGGGAAAGGGAUACCGAUGGUGGAUGGAUCCGCGUUCCAUUAGCUAGUUGGUGAGGUAACGGCUCACCAAGGCGACGAUGGAUAGCCGGCCUGAGAGGGUGACCGGCCACACUGGGACUGAGACACGGCCCAGACUCCUACGGGAGGCAGCAGUGGGGAAUCUUCCGCAAUGGACGCAAGUCUGACGGAGUAACGCCGCGUGAGUGAUGAAGGUUUUCGGAUCGUAAAACUCUGUCUGGCGGGAAGAACGGCGCGCAAGCGCGUGACGGUACCGCCGAAGGAAGCCCCGGCUAACUACGUGCCAGCAGCCGGGGUAAUACGUAGGGGGCGAGCGUUGUCCGGAAUUAUUGGGCGUAAAGCGCGCGUAGGCGGCCCGGCAAGUCAGGUGUGAAAACCCGGGGCUCAACUUCGGGAGUGCAUUUGAAACUAUCGGGCUUGAGGACAGGAGAGGUGAGUGGAAUUCCUAGUGUAGCGGUGAAAUGCGUAGAUAUUAGGAGGAACACCAGUGGCGAAGGCGACUCUCUGGCCUGUAACUGACGCUGAGGUGCGAAAGCUAGGGGAGCAAACGGGAUUAGAUACCCCGGUAGUCCUAGCCGUAAGCGAUGGGCACUGGGUGUAGGAGGUAUCGACCCCUCCUGUGCCGCAGCUAACGCAUUAAGUGCCCCGCCUGGGGAGUACGGCCGCAAGG